rfam:Corynebacterium kroppenstedtii DSM 44385, complete genome.
GGGGCGUUAGCUCAAUUGGUAGAGCACUUGCUUUGCAAGCAAGAGGUCACGAGUUCGAUUCUCGUACGCUCCA